UACGUAGGUGGCAAGCGUUGUCCGGAAUUAUUGGGCGUAAAGCGCGCGCAGGCGGUCCUUUAAGUCUGAUGUGAAAGCCCACGGCUCAACCGUGGAGGGUCAUUGGAAACUGGGGGACUUGAGUACAGAAGAGGAAAGCGGAAUUCCACGUGUAGCGGUGAAAUGCGUAGAGAUGUGGAGGAACACCAGUGGUGAAGGCGGCUUUCUGGUCUGUAACUGACGCUGAGGCGCGAAAGCGUGGGGAGCAAACAGG
rnacentral:rRNA from 1 species